UUGGCUGAUAAUUGUAGCCACUAGAGAUGUUACCACCUGGGCUGGAGAGAUGGCUCAGCUGUUAAAGGCCAGGCUCACAACCAAAAAUAUA
rnacentral:miRNA from 1 species